rnacentral:rRNA from 1 species
CGAGCGACCACUUCGGUGGGAAGCGGCGAACGGGUGAGUAACACGUAGGUGAUCUGCCCAUCAGACGGGGACAACGAUUGGAAACGAUCGCUAAUACCGGAUAGGACGAAAGUUUAAAGAUGCUCCUAGCAUCACUGAUGGAUGAGCCUGCGGCGCAUUAGCUAGUUGGUGGGGUAAAGGCCUACCAAGGCGACGAUGCGUAGCCGACCUGAGAGGGUGAACGGCCACACUGGGACUGAGACACGGCCCAGGCUCCUACGGGAGGCAGCAGUAGGGAAUCUUCGGCAAUGGGCGAAAGCCUGACCGAGCAACGCCGCGUGAAUGAAGAAGGCCUUCGGGUUGUAAAAUUCUGUUAUAAGGGAAGAAAGGUGAUGGGAGGAAAUGACUAUCAAUUGACGGUACCUUAUGAGAAAGCCACGGCUAACUACGUGCCAGCAGCCGCGGUAAUACGUAGGUGGCAAGCGUUAUCCGGAAUUAUUGGGCGUAAAGAGCGCGCAGGUGGUUAAUUAAGUCUGAUGUGAAAGCCCACGGCUUAACCGUGGAGGGUCAUCGGAAACUGGUUGACUUGAGUGCAGAAGAGGGAAGUGGAAUUCCAUGUGUAGCGGUGAAAUGCGUAGAGAUAUGGAGGAACACCAGUGGCGAAGGCGGCUUCCUGGUCUGCAACUGACACUGAGGCGCGAAAGCGUGGGGAGCAAACAGGAUUAGAUACCCUGGUAGUCCACGCCGUAAACGAUGAGUGCUAAGUGUUGGGGGUC